rnacentral:rRNA from 1 species
UACGUAGGUGGCAAGCGAUACUCGGAAUCACUAGGCGUAAAGCGCAGGUAGGCGGUUUGGUAAGUCUUUUGUGAAAGCUCCCGGCUCAACUGGGAGAGGUCAAAGGAAACUACUAGGCUAGAGUGUGGUAGGGGAUACUGGAAUUCCUGGUGUAGCGGUGAAAUGCGUAGAUAUCAGGAGGAAUACCUAUGGCGAAAGCAGGUAUCUGGGCCAUCACUGACGCUGAGCUGCGAAAGCGUGGGGAGCGAACAGG